GAUGAACGCUCGCUACAGGCUUAACACAUGCAAGUCGAGGGGAAACGCCAUCGAAAGCUUGCUUUUGAUGGGCGUCGACCGGCGCACGGGUGAGUAACGCGUAUCCAACCUGCCCAUCACUUGGGGAUAACCUUGCGAAAGUAAGACUAAUACCCAAUGAUAUCUCUAGAAGACAUCUGAAAGAGGUUAAAGAUUUAUCGGUGAUGGAUGGGGAUGCGUCUGAUUAGCUUGUUGGCGGGGUAACGGCCCACCAAGGCAACGAUCAGUAGGGGUUCUGAGAGGAAGGUCCCCCACAUUGGAACUGAGACACGGUCCAAACUCCUACGGGAGGCAGCAGUGAGGAAUAUUGGUCAAUGGGCGAGAGCCUGAACCAGCCAAGUAGCGUGCAGGAAGACGGCCCUAUGGGUUGUAAACUGCUUUUAUAAGGGAAUAAAGUGAGAGUCGUGACUCUUUUUGUAUGUACCUUAUGAAUAAGGACCGGCUAAUUCCGUG
rnacentral:rRNA from 1 species